rnacentral:rRNA from 1 species
GACGAACGCUGGCGGCGUGCCUAAUACAUGCAAGUAGAACGCUGAAGGAGGAGCUUGCUUCUCUGGAUGAGUUGCGAACGGGUGAGUAACGCGUAGGUAACCUGCCUGGUAGCGGGGGAUAACUAUUGGAAACGAUAGCUAAUACCGCAUAAUAGCAGUUGUUGCAUGACAACUGUUUGAAAGGUGCAAUUGCACCACUACCAGAUGGACCUGCGUUGUAUUAGCUAGUUGGUGGGGUAACGGCUCACCAAGGCGACGAUACAUAGCCGACCUGAGAGGGUGGUCGGCCACACUGGGACUGAGACACGGCCCAGACUCCUACGGGAGGCAGCAGUAGGGAAUCGUCGGCAAUGGACGGAAGUCUGACCGAGCAACGCCGCGUGAGUGAAGAAGGUUUUCGGAUCGGAAAGCUCUGUUGUAAGAGAAGAACGAGGGUGAGAGUGGAAAGUUCACACUGUGACGGUAUCUGACCAGAAAGAGACGGCUAACUACGUG